CCUACGGGAGGCAGCAGUAAGGAAUAUUGGUCAAUGGACGCAAGUCUGAACCAGCCAUGCCGCGUGAAGGAUUAAGGCCCUCUGGGUUGUAAACUUCUUUUAUAGGGGACGAAAAAAGGGCAUUCUUGCUCACUUGACGGUACCCUAGGAAUAAGCACCGGCUAACUCCGUGCCAGCAGCCGCGGUAAUACGGAGGGUGCAAGCGUUAUCCGGAUUUACUGGGUUUAAAGGGUGCGUAGGUGGGUUGGUAAGUCAGUGGUGAAAUCUUCGAGCUUAACUCGGAAACUGCCAUUGAUACUAUCAAUCUUGAAUCAUCUAGAGGUAAGCGGAAUAUGUCAUGUAGCGGUGAAAUGCUUAGAUAUGACAUAGAACACCAAUUGCGAAGGCAGCUUACUAUGGAUGUAUUGACACUGAGGCACGAAAGCGUGGGGAGUCAAACAGGAUUAGAUACCCUGGUAGUCCACGCCCUAAACGAUGGAUACUCGACAUUUGUGAUAUACUAUAAGUGUCUGAGCGAAAGCAUUAAGUAUCCACCUGGAAGUAACGACCGCAAGGUUGAAACUUCAAAUGAAUUGACGG
rnacentral:rRNA from 1 species